rnacentral:rRNA from 1 species
AUUGAACGCUGGCGGCAGGCCUAACACAUGCAAGUCGAACGGUAACAGGAAGAAGCUUGCUUCUUUGCUGACGAGUGGCGGACGGGUGAGUAAUGUCUGGGAAACUGCCUGAUGGAGGGGGAUAACUACUGGAAACGGUAGCUAAUACCGCAUAACGUCGCAAGACCAAAGAGGGGGACCUUCGGGCCUCUUGCCAUCGGAUGUGCCCAGAUGGGAUUAGCUAGUAGGUGGGGUAACGGCUCACCUAGGCGACGAUCCCUAGCUGGUCUGAGAGGAUGACCAGCCACACUGGAACUGAGACACGGUCCAGACUCCUACGGGAGGCAGCAGUGGGGAAUAUUGCACAAUGGGCGCAAGCCUGAUGCAGCCAUGCCGCGUGUAUGAAGAAGGCCUUCGGGUUGUAAAGUACUUUCAGCGGGGAGGAAGGGAGUAAAGUUAAUACCUUUGCUCAUUGACGUUACCCGCAGAAGAAGCACCGGCUAACUCCGUGCCAGCAGCCGCGGUAAUACGGAGGGUGCAAGCGUUGAUCGGAAUUACUGGGCGUAAAGCGCACGCAGGCGGUUUGUUAAGUCAGAUGUGAAAUCCCCGGGCUCAACCUGGGAACUGCAUCUGAUACUGGCAAGCUUGAGUCUCGUAGAGGGGGGUAGAAUUCCAGGUGUAGCGGUGAAAUGCGUAGAGAUCUGGAGGAAUACCGGUGGCGAAGGCGGCCCCCUGGACGAAGACUGACGCUCAGGUGCGAAAGCGUGGGGAGCAAACAGGAUUAGAUACCCUGGUAGUCCACGCCGUAAACGAUGUCCACU